GGCCGCCUAGCUCAGUUGGUUAGAGCGUGGUGCUAAUAUGUAAGCAUGCUUACGUAAUAACGCCAAGGUCGUCAGUUCGAUCCUGGCGGUGGCCA